rnacentral:rRNA from 1 species
UUUGUUAAGCGAGAUGUGAAAGCCCCGGGCUCAACCUGGGAACUGCAUUUCGAACUGGCAAACUAGAGUGUGAUAGAGGGUGGUAGAAUUUCAGGUGUAGCGGUGAAAUGCGUAGAGAUCUGAAGGAAUACCGAUGGCGAAGGCAGCCACCUGGGUCAACACUGACGCUCAUGUACGAAAGCGUGGGGAGCAAACAGGAUUAGAUACCCUGGUAGUCCACGCCGUAAACGAUGUCUACUAGAAGCUCGGAACCUCGGUUCUGUUUUUCAAAGCUAACGCAUUAAGUAGACCGCCUGGGGAGUACGGCCGCAAGGUUAAAACUCAAAUGAAUUGACGG